CGGGGAGUAGCUCAGUGGUAGAGCUUCCGCUUGUAUGCGGGAAGACGUGGGUUCGAUUCCCGGCUGCUUAU
rnacentral:tRNA from 1 species